UUAAAAUAAAGAAAAAUAAUAUCAUUAAAUUAAGUCAAAAGGUUUAAAGGUGAUAUCCUAUGAAUUCGGGAAAUUGCCAACUAUAUCUUAGAUAGUCACAUUUCUACCAAAUUGACGUAGAGCUUAAUUAAAUAUUCCAGAUGUUGCUAAAGUAUUCUCAUAUUGUCAACUGCGAAGUUCAACAUCUUUCGAUUUGCAGAACUGAUUCAAUCCAGUGGCUAACUCAUGGUCGUAUGUACGAUCCGUUCUGUCUAUUUUGAUUUAAUGUGACCAAAAGUUAAACUUCAUCUCGUGUAUAGUUAAAAGAUAUGAUAGUAUACAUACUAAAAAUGAGAAUUCUGGCAAACCAGAUUUAAAUCAAUAACAUGUUACUCUUGCUUGCGACAAUAUAAGUAAAUGUGGGCAAGAAAGAUGAAGAAGUAUUAGAAACAAGUUGCGGCUAAAUUUUGAGAAAGGAUUGAUAGCGGAAAGGCUACUAAUAGUAAUGAUAUGAGCUAUUAUU